CCACAGAUGAAGAGUCCCAAAUAGGACGAAAUGCGCAUCCUGGAU
rnacentral:hammerhead_ribozyme from 1 species